CCUACGGGAGGCAGCAGUGGGGGAUAUUGCACAAUGGGGGGAACCCUGAUGCAGCGACGCCGCGUGGGUGAAGGAGUGCUUCGGCAUGUAAAGCCCUAUCGGCAGGGAAGAAGAAAGACGGUACCUGACUAAGAAGCCCCGGCUAACUACGUGCCAGCAGCCGCGGUAAUACGUAGGGGGGGAGCGUUAUCCGGAUCCACUGGGGGUAAAGGGAGCGUAGACGGCCAUGCAAGCCAGGGGUGAAAGCCUGGGGCCCAACCCCGGGACUGCACUUGUAACUGAAUGGCUGGAGGGCUGGAGGGGCAGGCGGAAUUCCUGGUGUAGCGGUGAAAUGCGUAGAUAUCAGGAGGAACACCGGCGGCGAAGGCGGCCUGCUGGACCGCGACUGACGUUGAGGCUCGAAAGCGUGGGGAGCGAACAGGAUUAGAUACCCUUGUAGUC
rnacentral:rRNA from 1 species